ACAGCUGAAGAUAUCCAAAUGCACCGACAUCAGGGGACAGCAGACUCCUGCCCUGUGUCAGCGAUGUAUCGAGGCUGGAUGUGGCUGGAGCAAAAACGGCUGUUCCUGGGGGAAUCAAGGACAGAGAAAUGACAGUGUUUGCCAAACGGAGGAGUCGGGGAUGAACUUCUCUUGUCGUGUCCUUCUACGGCAGAAACUAUGCGAUGUUGUCUGGUCGUAACCUCGCUGGCGUGACCAAAGUGAGGAUCCAGGCGGACAUGGACUGCGCACCACAAGAAUCUCCUGUGUGGAGCAACACUGGUGUGGAUCUGACGUUCCACAUUCCCAGGACGGAUAAUAAAGGUUGUCAAAGUAUGUGUUGUCCCCCCAAGUGGUAGUUGCCACAGCAACGCUCAUAAG